CAGAGGCUGCAUGUGGCUGAUCCUUGAAGGAGAGAGGGACAGAGAGGGAGAGAGACACAGUGGUGGUGGACUAUCAAGUGAAGCCUCCCAGAACGCCCUCUGCUCGGAUCGCCUGGCCAGCGGACCAGCUUAGGAGUCAACUUGGGAAGAUCAAAGAAUAUGAACUGCCUUCUGCUCGCCUUAUCAUCCUGCCUGGGACUUCUCCACCUCCUCACUGCGGAUGCUGAGCAUUUAGGAGGCAACCUGAUCCUUUUCCACAUGGAACGAAGGGUACCUGCAUGCACAAAGAUAUGUGAAGGGGCAUAAACAACAUUUAAAAACAACAUUCAAGUGCUCUCUGGCCCUGAAGAAAUAUGGGUUUGCCUGCAGGCUUACAUUGGGUUUGAAUAUUGCUUAUAUACACAGAAACUCAUUCAGUAUCACUAUAUUAACCAUCGGAGUUUCCUUUUCUUAUCCUAUGCACAUAUGCAGCCUACGCUGCUUCAAACCUUACAUACAAACUGGCUGACAUAUUUUUAAAAUAUAUUUAUGCCAUUUUAAAUGAGCAGCUGAGGGGUGUUUGUGAGCAAUUCCGUAUAUCCCAUGUGAUACUCAGCUUUAAACCCGUAUGUUACGAAUUGUUUAAAGGCUCCCCCUACAAAAAGUGAAUAGUACGUUGUUGUUGUUGUUUUAAAUAAGUUAAACAUUUUCCUUCCUAACAGAAGGUAGAAAAAAAUCCUCUAGCAUGCAUUUCAGGAGCUAUUUAACCGAUUAUAAGUUUACAAUUGAGAAUGUCAACCCCUUCCCCCAAACAGAGUAAAAUGACUAAAUUUUAAAACAAUGAAAAUCCUACUUUCAGAAGAAUGAAGAUUAUAAGGGAAGGUUGUGACUCAUUUCUUUCAGCAAAGGCAAGAGAAGUAAUUAUUGAAAAAAAUUCUCAUUCUUUGCUUCUAUGGGUGAUUAUCAGAUUUACUUAACAGUGGUGGCAGCCUGACAGAUGAGCAAAAUCUAUUAAGAACAUACUUAAGGAAGCCAGCUCAUUCAUUUUAAUAGGCAUUACUUAAUAAAAACAUCAUAUUAUUUCCUCCCUUGUGUUCUGAUCCUGACAAAACUUGUUCAGCUAAAUAACUUCAUGCAUACAAGCAAUCACACUGAACUUAACAGGCCUAAUUACAUGAGUACAGUUGCUCACAUGUGUAAGUUACAUUUGAGGUCCCUUCCCCCUUAUAAAAAUAUGUACACAAUUAUAUGCUAAUAUAUUAUAGUACACAAAUGCUUUUUCCCAAAUAAAUGUACAUGCUAAUCAAAGACUGUUGAUUAUUUUAUAUUUUAACUUAAUGCAGCAUGGAAAAGGAGAUAUAUUUGUUUAACUUUUAUAUAGCCAUCUUAAUACUAGGUAAACUUAUGGAUUACUAAUUCAGAAGAAAAAUUCCAGCUACUAUAAAUAAUGGUUGAAGUGUGAGCUUUACUGACUGCAUUGCACCUGUGCAUUUGUAUUAUCCCCUCCCCACUAUGCCAAGGACAUAGCCUGGAUCUGUUUUAAUAUUGCUUGAACACUAGAAUGUUGGCAUUAAAUAUUCCUAAAGCAUUAAUUUUCCAGGACAUUAGAUUCCACAACAAUUCUAUUACUGCCCCUGCUAUGCA